rnacentral:rRNA from 1 species
AGUGAACGCUGGCGGUAGGCCUAACACAUGCAAGUCGAACGGCAGCACAGUAAGAGCUUGCUCUUACGGGUGGCGAGUGGCGGACGGGUGAGGAAUACAUCGGAAUCUACUUUUUCGUGGGGGAUAACGUAGGGAAACUUACGCUAAUACCGCAUACGACCUACGGGUGAAAGCAGGGGAUCUUCGGACCUUGCGCGAUUGAAUGAGCCGAUGCCGGAUUAGCUAGUUGGCGGGGUAAAGGCCCACCAAGGCGACGAUCCGUAGCUGGUCUGAGAGGAUGAUCGGCCACACUGGAACUGAGCCACGGUCCAGACUCCUACGGGAGGCAGCAGUGGGGAAUAUUGAACAAUGGGCGCAAGCCUGAUACAGCCAUACCGCGUGGGUGAAGAAGGCCUUCGGGUUGUAAAGCCCUUUUGUUGGGAAAGAAAAGCAGCAGGUUAAUACCCCGCUGUUCUGACGGUACCCAAAGAAUAAGCACCGGCUAACUUCGUG